rnacentral:rRNA from 1 species
AGAGUUUGAACCUGGCUCAGGGUGAACGCUGGCGGCGUGCCUAACACAUGCAAGUCGAGCGGGUACCCGCAAGGGUACCAGCGGCGCACGGGUGAGUAACACGUGGGUAAUCUACCCCUCGGAGGGGGAUAACCGGGGGAAACCCCGGCUAAUACCCCAUACGAUCCAAUGACGACGGUCAUUGGAUGAAAGGGGCGUUUCGCCUCGCCGAGGGAUGAGCCCGCGGCCCAUCAGGUAGUUGGUGGGGUAAUGGCCCACCAAGCCUACGACGGGUAGCUGGCCUGAGAGGAUGGUCGGCCACAAGGGCACUGAGACACGGGCCCUACUCCUACGGGAGGCAGCAGUGGGGAAUCUUGGACAAUGGGCGAAAGCCUGAUCCAGCGACGCCGCGUGGGGGACGAAGCCCUUCGGGGUGUAAACCCCUGUUGCGAGGGAGGAAUAAGACCUGGGGGAAAUGCCAGGUCGAUGACUGUACCUCGCGAGAAAGCCCCGGCUAACUACGUGCCAGCAGCCGCGGUAAUACGUAGGGGGCGAGCGUUACCCGGAUUCACUGGGCGUAAAGGGGGUGUAGGCGGCUCGGUAAGUCGGGUGUGAAAUCCCACGGCUCAACCGUGGAAUUGCGCCCGAAACUGCCGAGCUUGGGGCCGGUAGAGGGAGACGGAACUGCCGGUGUAGGGGUGAAAUCCGUAGAUAUCGGCAGGAACGCCGGUGGGGAAGCCGGUCUCCUGGGCCGCGCCCGACGCUGAGGCCCGAAAGCUAGGGGAGCAAACCGGAUUAGAUACCCGGGUAGUCCUAGCCGUAAACGAUGCCCACUAGGUGUGGGGGAGUAUUUCCUCCGUGCUGUAGCUAACGCGUUAAGUGGGCCGCCUGGGGAGUACGCCCGCAAGGGUGAAACUCAAAGGAAUUGGCGGGACCCCGCACAAGCGGUGGAGCGCGUGGUUUAAUUGGAUGCUGAGCCAAGAACCUUACCAGGGCUUGACAUGCAGGUGGUACCGACCCGAAAGGGGAGGGACCCCAUCCUUUUGGGUGGGGAGCCUGCACAGGUGGUGCACGGCCGUCGUCAGCUCGUGCCGUGAGGUGUUGGGUUAAGUCCCGCAACGAGCGCAACCC